rnacentral:rRNA from 1 species
AACGAACGCUGGCGGCAUGCCUAACACAUGCAAGUCGAACGAGACCUUCGGGUCUAGUGGCGCACGGGUGCGUAACGCGUGGGAACCUGCCCUUAGGUUCGGAAUAACUCCCCGAAAGGGGUGCUAAUACCGGAUAAUGUCUUCGGACCAAAGAUUUAUCGCCUUUGGAUGGGCCCGCGUUGGAUUAGCUAGUUGGUAGGGUAAAAGCCUACCAAGGCGACGAUCCAUAGCUGGUCUGAGAGGAUGAUCAGCCACACUGGGACUGAGACACGGCCCAGACUCCUACGGGAGGCAGCAGUGGGGAACAUUGGACAAUGGGCGAAAGCCUGAUCCAGCAAUGCCGCGUGAGUGAUGUAGGCCUUAGGGUUGUAAAGCUCUUUUACCCGGGAUGAUAAUGACAGUACCGGGAGAAUAAGCUCCGGCUAACUCCGUG